rnacentral:misc_RNA from 1 species
UCGCACGGCAGACGGCGGAGG